UGUGGGAGCGGGCUUGCUCGCGAAUGCGAUGUGUCAGUCAGAGUUCUAUCGGCUGACACAUCGCAUUCGCGAGCAAGCCCGCUCCCACA
rnacentral:misc_RNA from 1 species